rnacentral:rRNA from 1 species
AAUUAUUAAGUUUAAAGGUUUUCCGCCUUUUAGUGCGGAAGUUAAGGCAUUAACCAUUCGGCUUGGGGAUUCCGGCGCCAGGGUUGAAAUUCAAAGGAAUGGCCGGGGGCCCGCCAAAGCGGUGGACCUUGUGUUUUAAUUGGAACCAACGGGAAGACCCUUACCAGUUCUUGCCUUCUUUGGCCAACCCUAGAGUUAGGGUUUUUCUUUGGGGAGCAGAUUGCCAGUGGGUCCAUGGUGUUGUUCAGUUCGGUUCGUAAAUGGUUGGGUUAAUUCCGGCACCGAGGCCAACCCUUGUUUUUGGUGGCCUUCAUUCAGUGGGCCAUUUUAAGGUGCCGGCGGGGGCCAAACGGGAGGAAGGGGGGGAGGAGGUCAAUUCUUCAUGCCCCUUAUGCCCUGGGUUCCCCCCGUGUUCCAAUGGCCGGUACAAAGAGCGCCAAGCCCGGGAGGGGGAGUUAUUUUCAUAAACCCGUUUUCAGUUCGGAUGUUAGGUUGCAAAUGGCUUCCAGGAAGCGGGAAUCGUUGGUAAUCGGGGAUCACCAGGCCGCGGGGAAUAGGUUCCCGGCCUUUUUCAAAACCGCCGGCCCCACCACGAGAGUUGGUACCACCGGAAGUGGGGGGGGUACCCUUUUGGAGCCAGCCGCCUAAGGUGGGACAGAUGAUUGGGGGAAGUCGAACAAA